GACGAACGCUAGCGGCAGGCCUAACACAUGCAAGUCGAGGGGCAGCACAGAAACAGCAAUGCUUUGGUGGCGACCGGCGGACGGGUGCGUAACGCGUAUGCAACCUACCUUUAACAGGGGGAUAACGGAGAGAAAUUUCCACUAAUACCCCAUAACAUCGAUCAAGGCAUCUUGAUUGGUUGAAAACUCCGGCGGUUAAAGAUGGGCAUGCGUUGUAUUAGGUAGUUGGUGAGGUAAUGGCUCACCAAGCCUACGAUACAUAGGGGGACUGAGAGGUUAGCCCCCCACACUGGUACUGAGACACGGACCAGACUCCUACGGGAGGCAGCAGUGAGGAAUAUUGGUCAAUGGGGGCAACCCUGAACCAGCCAUGCCGCGUGCAGGAAGACGGCUCUAUGAGUUGUAAACUGCUUUUAAACAGGGAUAAAGCACAGUAUGUAUACUGUGUUGAAGGUACUGUAAGAAUAAGGAUCGGCUAACUCCGUGCCAGCAGCCGCCGUAA
rnacentral:rRNA from 1 species